rnacentral:rRNA from 1 species
UACGUAGGGACCGAGCGUUGUCCGGAAUCAUUGGGCGUAAAGAGCGUGUAGGCGGCCACUUAAGUCCUGCGUGAAAUCUUGCGGCUCAACCGCAAGCGGUCGUGGGAAACUGGGUGGCUAGAGUGCGGGAGAGGAGAGUGGAAUUCCUGGUGUAGCGGUGGAAUGCGCAGACAUCAGGAAGAACACCCGUGGCGAAGGCGGCUCUCUGGAACGCAACUGACGCUGAGACGCGAAAGCGUGGGGAGCAAACAGG